rnacentral:rRNA from 1 species
CAAUAGCGUAUAUUAAAGUUGUUGCGGUUAAAAAGCUCGUAGUUGGAUUUCUGCUGAGAACGACCGGUCCGCCCUUUGGGUGUGUAUCUGGCUCUUUCUUGGCAUCUUCUUGGUGAACGUUGCUGCACUUGACUGUGUGGAGCGCUACCCAGGACUUUUACUUUGAGGAAAUUAGAGUGUUUCAAGCAGGCAUACGCCUUGAAUACAUUAGCAUGGAAUAAUAAGAUAGGACCUCGGUUCUAUUUUGUUGGUUUCUAGAGCUGAGGUAAUGAUUAAUAGGGAUAGUUGGGGGUAUUCGUAUUCAAUUGUCAGAGGUGAAAUUCUUGGAUUUAUGGAAGACGAACUACUGCGAAAGCAUUUACCAAGGAUGUUUUCAUUAA